CUGCUUAGUCUCUUGGAUUGCUAAUUUUUGUGUUUUUUUUUGUUUUGUUUUUGGAUUGGUCAUUCAGAAUCUGGCACUGUGUCAGGAACACACUGAAGCAACCCGCUGGCAAAUUCCUUCUGGAGGAAGCCUGACCCUCCCGCCAUGAGCCAGCACCAGCUUGCAAGCCGUGGGAGUCAAGCAUGUUCAAAGGCGCCCUCCGGCCUCCCCUUGUGACUGGAGGGAACUGCCCGCUGAGCUGCUCCCCAGGUCCCGGGAAGUGGUGAGGGAUGGUAACCACUGACCACUUCCCAUCCCACCACUGCGCACGGCGACCCUCUGUUAGGAAGCGCUGAGGUAGUGGGGAAGGAGCAGCUGUGCGGAGCGCAGCCCCAUUUUUGAGAAGCGGGGAAGUGACACCCAUCACCCUCUGCAGGGAGUCGCAAAGCAGCGCGCUCAGCGAGUUUGGAAAUGUGCUGUCUUGCAGGUGGGAGACUCAGACAACUCAGGCCCGACUGGACCUGAGGAAGAAACUGCGAGUGGGCUGAAGGCCUUAGAAGGGAAGGCCACGGUCAUUUCCUUGGAGGCAGAGCCGUGCCUGAAGGCUUCUCAGAGGUCCUGCGGAGCUGACCUAAGGAGAUCUCUGAUUCUGGCCCGCCCCGGAGGAAGGAACGCUCCGCGGAGAGCCCCAGAGGAGUCCGAGCAGACAGACCUGGUUCUGUUAGAUUGCUGCCUUCUGUCCGGUCACGUUCUGUCCACUCUUCGUCCAAUCUAAGCAUAAAGUUAGUCUUCCCUG